UCCAAUCGAACUCGGAGAUAGCUGGUUCUCCUCGAAAUAGCUUUAGGGCUAGCCUUGAGGUAAAGUCUAAUGGAGGUAAAGCACUGAUUGGACGCGGGUCCCCAAAAGGAUACCAACUUCUAUCAAACUCAGAAUGCCAUAUAGAUAUACUCAGGAGUCAGACUAUGUGAGAUAAGUUUCAUAGUCAAAAGGGAAAGAGCCCAGACCGACAGCUAAGGUCCCAAAGUGUGUGUUAAGUGGAAAAGGAUGUUAGGUUUCUAAGACAACUAGGAUGUUGGCUCAGAAGCAGCCACUCAUUUAAAGAGUGCGUAACAGCUCACUAGUCGAGAGGUCUAGCGCCGAAAAUGUCCGGGGCUAAAACACACCACCGAAGCUACGGAAUUACCUAUGGUAAUUGGUAGAGGAGCAUUCUGUAAGGAUGAAGCACAAUUGAAAGAGAGUGUGGACGAAACAGAAGAGAGAAUGCCGGAAUGAGUAGCGAGAUAUAUGUGAGAAUCAUAUAGGUCGAAUGUCUAAGGUUUCCUGGGUAAAGCUGAUCUGCUCAGGGUAAGUCGGGACCUAAGGUGAGGGCGAGAGCCGUAAUCGAUGGACAACAGGUAGAAAUUCCUGUACUACGUAUAAUCAGAACUGUGGGGACGCAGGAGGAUAGGAAAACCGGAGAAUGGAAAUAUCCGGCUAAGUACAAAGGUGUGAGUGAUAGGCAAAUCCGUCACUAUUAGCUGAAGUACGAAUGGGAGCGAAGAAAAGUAGCGAAGUUUCUGAAUCCACACUGUCAAGAAAAGCCGCUAUUGCGUUAUACGUACCCGUACCGCAAACCGACACAGGUAGACGAGGAGAAAAUCCACAGACCGACGGGAGAAGUGUUGUUAAGGAACUCGGCAAAAUGACCCCGUAACUUAGGGAUAAGGGGAGCCAACGCAAGUUGGUCACAGAAAAGAGGCUCAAGCGACUGUUUAGCAAAAACAUAGGUCUAUGCGAAACCGUAAGGUGAUGUAUAUGGGCUGACACCUGCCCGGUGCUGGAAGGUCAAAAGGAGAGGUUAGCGUAAGCGAAGCUUUGAAUUCAAGCCCCAGUAAACGGCGGCCGUAACUAUAACGGUCCUAAGGUAGCGAAAUUCCUUGUCAGGUAAGUUCUGACCCGCACGAAAGGUGUAACGAUUUGAGCACUGUCUCGACAACACGCCCGGUGAAAUUGAAGAACCAGUGAAGAUACUGGUUACCCGCAACAGGACGGAAAGACCCCAUGGAGCUUUACUGCAGCUUAAUAUUGGGAUUCGGUAUUGUAUGUACAGGAUAGGAGGGAGACUAAGAAGCUAGCACGCCAGUGUUGGUGGAGUCGAUGGUGGGAUACCUCUCUUAUAAUACUGAAUUUCUAACCUACUUCCGUGAUCCGGAAGAGGGACAUUGUUAGGCGGGCAGUUUGACUGGGGCGGUCGCCUCCGAAAGAGUAACGGAGGCGCUCAAAGGUCUUCUCAGAAUGAUUGGAAACCAUUCAAAGAGUGUAAAGGCAAAAGAAGGCUUGACUGCGAGAGUGACAACUCGAGCAGGUACGAAAGUAGGACUUAGUGAUCCGGUGGUAACAAGUGGGAGUGCCAUCGCUUAACGGAUAAAAGCUACCCUGGGGAUAACAGGCUUAUCUCCCCCAAGAGUUCACAUCGACGGGGAGGUUUGGCACCUCGAUGUCGGCUCAUCGCAUCCUGGGGCUGUAGUAGGUCCCAAGGGUUGGGCUGUUCGCCCAUUAAAGCGGUACGCGAGCUGGGUUCAGAACGUCGUGAGACAGUUCGGUCCCUAUCCGUUGUGGGCGUAGGAAAUUUGAUAGGAGCUGUCCUUAGUACGAGAGGACCGGGAUGGACGAACCUCUGGUGAAUCUGUUGGUAACCAAUGCCACAGCAGAAUAGCCAAGUUUGGAACGGAUAAACGCUGAAGGCAUCUAAGCGUGAAGCCAACCUAAAGACUAGAUUUCCCAUGCGAAAGCAGUAAGACUCCUUGUAGACGACAAGGUUGAUAGGCCAGAGAUGUAAGCACAGUAAUGUGUUCAGUUGACUGGUACUAAUAAGUCGAGGGCUUGACCAA
rnacentral:rRNA from 1 species